CUCACUGCAACCUCCGCCUCCCAGGUUCAAGCAAUUCUCCUGCCUCAGCCUCCCAGGUAGCUGCCACUACAGGUGCUGCACCACCACGCCCGGCUAAUUUUUGUAUUUUUAGUAGAGACAGGGUUUCACCAUAUUAGCCAGGUGGGUCUUGAACUCCUGACCUUGUGAUCCACCCGCCUCGGCCUCCCAAAGUGCUGGGAUUACAGGCGUGAGCCACCUUGCCUGGCCAAAAAUCUCAGAAUUCUUUAAGACUGUUUUAAUUGCUCCAUCAGUAAUUUUGAAGCACUUUCCUUUUUUUUUUUUUUUCCCCUUUUUGUCCCUUUCCCCAAGCCACCAAUUGGAUGGAUGAAUGUUUGACGGGGAAGAGGAAGGGUAGGAGGAUGCAUGGAUGAGUGGAUGAGUGGAUCGAUGGAUGUAUUGAUAAAUAGAUAGAACCAGUCAUCUGAAGCAACUUAAGAAUUGUAGCCUUGACUCCUUGAGACUGUAGAUUUCGAUCCAGGAAACAUUUAUUUAGCACCUGCCAGAUGCCAGAAAUUUAUACCAUUUAAAACUCAGUAAGUCUUUUAAAUAUCAGGAAGGAGAGAAGCGACAUCAUGAUACAUCCUAUGGGUAUUAAAAAGCCAAUAGAAUAUUAUGAAUAAUUUUAUGCUAAUAAAUUUAACAACUUCAACAUCAUAAACAAAUUCCUUGAAAAAUAAAAAGUACCAAAAUUCAUUCAAGAAGAAAUAGAUACCAGCCUGAGCAACAUGGCAAAAUCCCAUCUCUACAAAACAUCAAAAAAAAAAAAAAUUAGUCGGGCAUGGUGGUGCACACCUGUAAUCCCAGCUUGUCAGGAGGCUGAAGUGGGAGGAUCACCUGAGCCCAGGGAGGUCAAGGAUGCAGUGAGCCAUGGUCUCACCACUGCACUCUAGCCUGGGUGACAGAAUGAGACCCCGUCUCAAAAAAAAAGAAGAAGUAGAUAAUCUGAAUAGCCCUAUAUCUAUAGAAACUUAAUAGUGCUGGGAGAUAUAGGUAUUAUUAUCCUCAUUUUACAGAUGUGAAAAUUGAGGCUCAGAGAAGUAAAGUCUAUUGCUCAAGGUCAUGUGGCUAGAAUAUGGCAGAGCCAUGAUUCAGAUCCAGGUCUUCUGAUUCUUAUUCCAGUGUCCUUUCUAGCAUACCAUGUUGCCUCUAAAGAUUGCAGCUCCUUAUUUACUAGAAAAUUGUUCCUGCCCAAUCUACAUCUCCACCUCACCCCAUCUUUUCUUAAGCACUAUGUUUGUGUUUUUAUCAGUAUUAUAUUCAUUGUCUUUGGAAUACAUGUUCUUGUUUGUGUUUGGAAAAAAAAUCUCUUUUACCAGCUUGCACUCGGACCAACUUGGAAAAAAAAAAGCUUAAAUGUUUUUGCUAUGUACAGUUUAAAAAUGUGAAGUUUGUAGCUUUAACUUUUUGUAAGAAAAUCUAAUAACACUGGCUUAAGUGCUGACUUGAAAUGCUAUUUUGUAAGGUUUGGAUGUAAGUAAUCAAUUGAGGUCAGCAGUUUGUAUGAGACAUAGCUUCCUCCAUUGCCCCCACUCCUUUUUUCUUUUUUAAGUUUGAGAUGCUUCCUGUGUUUUUAUGUUAGAAUUGUUGUUCUCCUUCUUUUCUUCUUCCUAUACCUCAUCACGUUUGUUUUAAAUAAACUGUCCUUUGGACCACAAACCCUUAUUAACGAGAACCUCAAUAUAUAGCCUGGAUAAUGGUGUUGUGAACAAUCUUUGUGACAUUGACUCAGUGGUGUGUUUAUUCUAAGAUCCAAAGCUGGGGAGAGGUUGGUAAACUUUUGUUGGGC
rnacentral:lncRNA from 1 species